GUUAGUGAUGGAGGAGAGAAGAUGGCGGAAGCGGAAUUUAAGGACCAUAGUACAGCUAUGGAUACUGAACCAAACCCGGGAACAUCUUCUGUGUCAACAACAACCAGCAGUACCACCACCACCACCAUCACCACUUCCUCCUCUCGAAUGCAGCAGCCACAGAUCUCUGUCUACAGUGGUUCAGACCGACAUGCUGUACAGGUAAUUCAACAGGCAUUGCAUCGGCCCCCCAGCUCAGCUGCUCAGUACCUUCAGCAAAUGUAUGCAGCCCAACAACAGCACUUGAUGCUGCAUACUGCAGCUCUUCAGCAGCAGCAUUUAAGCAGCUCCCAGCUUCAGAGCCUUGCUGCCGUUCAGGCAAGUUUGUCCAGUGGAAGACCAUCUACAUCUCCCACAGGAAGUGUUACACAGCAGUCAAGUAUGUCCCAAACGUCUAUGGAGUGUCGCUCUGUUGCCCAGGCUGGAGUGCAGUGGCGCAAUCUCGGCUCACUGCAAGCUCCGCUUCCCAGGUUCACACCAUUCUUCUGCCUCAGCCUCC
rnacentral:sRNA from 1 species